CAGCAGCCGCGGUAAUACGAAGGGGGCGAGCGUUGCUCGGAAUGACUGGGCGUAAAGGGCGCGUAGGUGGCGUGCACAGUCAGAUGUGAAAUUCCUGGGCUCAACCUGGGGGCUGCAUUUGAUACGUGCGUGCUAGAGUGUGGAAGAGGGUCGUGGAAUUCCCAGUGUAGAGGUGAAAUUCGUAGAUAUUGGGAAGAACACCGGUGGCGAAGGCGGCGACCUGGUCCAUUACUGACGCUGAGGCGCGAAAGCGUGGGGAGCAAACAGGAUUAGAUACCCCGGUAGUCCCUGUCUCUUAUAA
rnacentral:rRNA from 1 species